rnacentral:lncRNA from 1 species
UUUGUCAAUCGUCACCCAUCAUUCGAAUCGAGAGACUCUAUUCCGUCACUAGUUACAGUUCUCUAGUAUGAUAGUUGUUGUUAAGCUGUUAUCUAUUUAAUAAGAAGUACGAAUCGAACCCUCGCCUCGACUCAACUCUUUCUUUAUAAAAACCCCUCCACUGAGGAGAGCAGAAGCUCCAGGACCCCGCCUCGCUUCUUAAAUAAAGAAGAAAAGAAAGACCAAUAGUACCGCCUCCUUCUCUAGAAUAAGAAUAGAAAUCUUUCUUCCAUGAUUCCAUCUAACCGGAGAAGAUCUAGAACUGAACUGACUAUUGGCAGUUCAAUCACUUGAAUAUAACAGAAAUCAGUGGCGUCAAUUCAUUGAAUCAAGGUUUGGGUAUUCUUCGGCGACGGGUACUCUUUUUCGAUUCUCUUUCUGUCUAUUUUUGAGUCUCAUGUGGUACCAACCUACGGGUAAAAAAAUGGGACAUAAGAAGGAUUCGGUGAUAA